AAGUAUUGGAACCGCUGGGCCGGCAUGCCUUUUACACAUGCAAGUCGUGGGGCAGCAUAAGGGUAGCAAUACUCUGGUGGCGACCGGCAAACGGGUGCGGAACACGUACGACAACCUUCCUACAAAGGCGGGGGAUAGCCUCUCGAAAGAGAGAUUAAUACCCCAUAGUAUCUUGAAACUGCAUGGUUUUAAGAUUAAAGCUCCGGCACUUUGAGAUGGGCGUGCGGCUGAUUAGGUAGUUGGUAGGGUAACGGCCUACCAAGCCAACGAUCAGUAGCUGAUGUGAGAGCAUGAUCAGCCACACGGGCACUGAGACACGGGCCCGACUCCUACGGGAGGCAGCAGUGAGGAAUAUUGGUCAAUGGAGGCAACUCUGAACCAGCCAUGCCGCGUGAAGGAUGAAGGUCCUCUGGAUUGUAAACUUCUUUUAUUGGGGAAGAAACCCGCGUUUUCUAAUGCGGUUGACGGUACCCAAGGAAUAAGCACCGGCUAACUCCGUG
rnacentral:rRNA from 1 species